rnacentral:tRNA from 2 species
GGUCUGGUGGUGUAGUUGGUUAUCACGUCAGUCUAACAUCUCGCCGAGUCGCCUCGCCGGGCUGAGCACACUGAAGGUCUCCGGUUCAAGUCCGGGCUAGAUCA